rnacentral:rRNA from 1 species
AGAUUGAACGCUGGCGGCAUGCUUUACACAUGCAAGUCGAGCGGCAGCGCGGGGGCAACCCUGGCGGCGAGCGGCGAACGGGUGAGGAAUACAUCGGAACGUACCCCGGAGUGGGGGAUAACCCAGCGAAAGUUGGACUAAUACCGCAUAUGCUCUGAGGAGGAAAGCAGGGGACUUCGCAAGAGGCCUUGCGCUCUGGGAGCGGCCGAUGUCCGAUUAGCUAGUUGGUGGGGUAAUGGCUCACCAAGGCGACGAUCGGUAGCUGGUCUGAGAGGAUGAUCAGCCACACUGGGACUGAGACACGGCCCAGACUCCGUACGGGAGGCAGCAGUGGGGAAUUUGGACAAGUGGGGGCAACCCUGAUCCAGCCAU